CCUACGGGAGGCAGCAGUGGGGGAUAUUGCACAAUGGGGGAAACCCUGAUGCAGCGAUGCCGCGUGAGUGAAGACGGCUUUCGGGUUGUAAAGCUCUGUCGCAGAGGACGAAAAUGACGGUACUCUGUAAGAAAGCCCCGGCUAACUACGUGCCAGCAGCCGCGGGAAUACGUAGGGAGCAAGCGUUGUCCGGAAUUACGGGGUGUAAAGGGAGCGUUGGGGGGAGGAUAAGUUGAAUGUGAAAUCUAGGGGCUCAACCUAUAGCUGCGUUCAAAACUGUUCUUCUUGAGUGAAGUAGAGGCAGGCGGAAUUCCUAGUGUAGCGGUGAAAUGCGUAGAUAUUAGGAGGAACACCAGUGGCGAAGGCGGCCUGCUGGGCUUUUACUGACGCUGAGGCUCGAAAGCGUGGGUAGCAAACAGGAUUAGAUACCCUGGUAGUC
rnacentral:rRNA from 1 species